rnacentral:miRNA from 15 species
AGCUGUGUCUUCAUACUGCCAUU